AGAGUUUGAUCCUGGCUCAGGACGAACGCUGGCGGCGUGCUUAACACAUGCAAGUCGAACGGAAAGGCCCUGCUUUUGUGGGGUGCUCGAGUGGCGAACGGGUGAGUAACACGUGAGUAACCUGCCCUUGACUUUGGGAUAACUUCAGGAAACUGGGGCUAAUACCGGAUAGGAGCUCCUGCUGCAUGGUGGGGGUUGGAAAGUUUCGGCGGUUGGGGAUGGACUCGCGGCUUAUCAGCUUGUUGGUGGGGUAGUGGCUUACCAAGGCUUUGACGGGUAGCCGGCCUGAGAGGGUGACCGGCCACAUUGGGACUGAGAUACGGCCCAGACUCCUACGGGAGGCAGCAGUGGGGAAUAUUGCACAAUGGGCGGAAGCCUGAUGCAGCAACGCCGCGUGCGGGAUGACGGCCUUCGGGUUGUAAACCGCUUUCGCCUGUGACGAAGCGUGAGUGACGGUAAUGGGUAAAGAAGCACCGGCUAACUACGCGCCAGCAGCCGCGGUGAUACGUAGGGUGCGAGCGUUGUCCGGAUUUAUUGGGCGUAAAGGGCUCGUAGGUGGUUGAUCGCGUCGGAAGUGUAAUCUUGGGGCUUAACCCUGAGCGUGCUUUCGAUACGGGUUGACUUGAGGAAGGUAGGGGAGAAUGGAAUUCCUGGUGGAGCGGUGGAAUGCGCAGAUAUCAGGAGGAACACCAGUGGCGAAGGCGGUUCUCUGGGCCUUUCCUGACGCUGAGGAGCGAAAGCGUGGGGAGCGAACAGGCUUAGAUACCCUGGUAGUCCACGCUGUAAACGGUGGGUACUAGGUGUGGGGUCCAUUCCACGGGUUCCGUGCCGUAGCUAACGCUUUAAGUACCCCGCCUGGGGAGUACGGCCGCAAGGCUAAAACUCAAAGGAAUUGACGGGGCCCCGCACAAGCGGCGGAGCAUGCGGAUUAAUUCGAUGCAACGCGUAGAACCUUACCUGGGUUUGACAUGGAUCGGGAGUGCUAAGAGAUGGGUGUGCCUCUUUUGGGGUCGGUUCACAGGUGGUGCAUGGCUGUCGUCAGCUCGUGUCGUGAGAUGUUGGGUUAAGUCCCGCAACGAGCGCAACCCUUGUUCACUGUUGCCAGCACGUUAUGGUGGGGACUCAGUGGAGACCGCCGGGGUCAACUCGGAGGAAGGUGGGGAUGACGUCAAGUCAUCAUGCCCCUUAUGUCCAGGGCUUCACGCAUGCUACAAUGGCUGGUACAGAGAGUGGCGAGCCUGUGAGGGUGAGCGAAUCUCGGAAAGCCGGUCUCAGUUCGGAUUGGGGUCUGCAACUCGACCUCAUGAAGUCGGAGUCGCUAGUAAUCGCAGAUCAGCAACGCUGCGGUGAGUACGUUCCCGGGGCUUGUACACACCGCCCGUCAAGUCAUGAAAGUUGGUAACACCCGAAGCCGGUGGCCUAACCGUUGUGGGGGAGCCGUCGAAGGUGGGACUGGUGAUUAGGACUAAGUCGUAACAAGGUAACCGUA
rnacentral:rRNA from 1 species